CUCGCGACGCCGCGUGGGGACGGGUGAGAGACACGAUGCAACCGAAGUCCCGGAGGAACCGUGUCCGCUUUCGAAAACUGGAUAGACGGAUGAAAGAAAACUGGAGGAGGUGAAUCCAUGUGCAGUCGCAGGCAGGAAUGCGGUUGUGGGCGAACAGAGGGGCGUGUGGCUGCGUCGAGCUGACCGGUAUGCGAUGCGACGCGAACGAAGUGGCGGCAGGCACCCCACAAGUUUCUCUCAUUUCUUGCCUUUCCGCGCGCAGCAGAGCGACUGCACAACCGUGUUUCUGCCGCCUGUUAAGGGUGGACAUAUCCGUUACAUCCCGUGCACAUGUGAGAAAUGACCUGCGUGACGGUAAACCGGAACACGCCCCCCCGGCCGGUUGCACUGCAAAAAGUUUCCUGUCUUUUCAAGGGCAAGUCUUACCGCCAGUUCCCCUGCCUCUCAUGCCACUGCGUUGCCAGCGAAUGACCAGGAAACACAUUCAGGCGUUCGCCCGCCAAUCUGAGUGCCAGGGGAAGGAGCAGAAACAGGCCAACGGGCGCUGGCAACAACACACAAGCACGCCGCGCGCGAAAGUCUGUGUACAUACAGCCCAAACGAUGCAGAUGUGCGGCCUUCCGAACCUAGCAGACUGCAAAACUCGGCUGAUCUGCGCAAGUGAAGGGAACUCCCCUGUGGUUUGUUUCAGGAUUUUCGAAACAUGCUGCAGCGUCUUCGCGUUUUGGAGACAGUGUGAAUCCAGUGAAAGCCUGUAGCCAAACAGCUCGGAGUUGUUUCCAUGAACCAGCGUUACGGUAGAUCCGUUGCACCGCGGGUGUUUUCGCAGGCGAUUCUGCCUCAUAGGGACUACACCUGUUGGAAAGGCGUCGCCACAUUGUGCCUUGUCGUACUCUCACCAAAGAACCCGGAGUGAAAAAACCUUCAGAUGCGUGAGGGGCACUCUAUGGAGUCUCACCGUGCAAAUGUGGCAGGUACGUGAUAUUUAUGGCGGCAAGCGGCGUACACAACAACGGAAGAACGUUGCUCUCUACCCA
rnacentral:lncRNA from 1 species